GACGAACGCUGGCGGCGUGCUUAACACAUGCAAGUCGAACGGAAAGGCCCUGCUUGCAGGGUACUCGCGUGGCGAACGGGUGAGUAACACGUGGGUGAUCUGCCCUGCACUUCGGGAUAAGCCUGGGAAACUGGGUCUAAUACAGGAUAGGAGCCAUUUUUAGUGUGAUGGUUGGAAAGUUUUUUCGGUGUAGGAUGAGCUGGCGGCCUAUCAGCUUGUUGGUGGGGUAAUGGCGUACCAAGGCGGCGACGGGUAGCAGGCCUGAGAGGGUGGACGGCGACAUUGAGACUGAGAGACGGCCCAGACACCGACGGGAGGCAGCAGGGGGGAAGAUUGCACAAGGGGCGCAAGCCUGGUGCAGCGACGCCUCGUGUGGGAUGACGGCCUUCGGGUUGUAAACUCCAUUCGCUAGGGACGAAGCUUUUUGUGACGGUACCUAGAUAAAAAGCGCCGGCUAACUACGUG
rnacentral:rRNA from 1 species